GCCAUGGUGGUGUAGUUUGAGUGUUGGACUCCAACUCUGGAAACCAGGGUUCAAUUCCCAGCUCUGCCA